UUUUUUUUCCUGUUUUUGUUUUGUUUAAAGUAGUUAUAAGACAUUAUUUUGUCAAAUGCAAGGAAAACUAAUAUGAAGAUAUUUAGUUUGUCCCUUCCUAGUAUUAAAAGCACUGAUCAUUUCUUCAACACUCUUAAAAUGAGAUGGGGGAGGUGCACUUAUUUUUUUGGUUUUUAUUUAGGCCAUUCUUUAUUUUUUCCUAUGUAUCCUGCACUUCUUGCCUAUAUUUCUCUACUUCCAGCA
rnacentral:lncRNA from 1 species